AGACCAACUGGACAUCUGUAAACCACAAAGAUUCUUCUGGCUCUGCUUCAUGCUGUGUAGUUUCUAGAUCUCUGAGCAUUAAAAUGGUAUUUAUUCAAGUCAAAUUUAUGUCACUCCUACUAGACUUCGAUCCCUUCCAAAAGAAGCUGAAAGGCAGUCCAGGCCAUCAUUGAUGAUCUGGUUUACAUGAUGGUGACAUCAUUCCUAGUGUUGGGAGUGGAACUCCAAAAGAACAUGAAUCAAGUUAUAAUUUGUGACUAAAGAGCUCAGCUGAGCUUGUGAUGAAAGGAGCACACUGGGAGCGGAAAUUAAAC